rnacentral:rRNA from 1 species
UACGUAGGGACCAAGCGUUGUUCGGAUUUACUGGGCGUAAAGGGCGCGUAGGCGGCAAUUCAAGUCAGCUGUGAAAUCUCCGAGCUUAACUCGGAACGGUCAGCUGAUACUGUUUUGCUAGAGUGCAGAAAGGGCAACCGGAAUUCUUGGUGUAGCGGUGAAAUGCGUAGAUAUCAAGAGGAACACCUGAGGCGAAGGCGGGUUGCUAGGCUGACACUGACGCUGAGGCGCGAAAGCGUGGGGAGCGAACAGG